UAAUGUUUGAUGUUCUAACGUGGACCCGUGAUCCGGGUUGCGGACAGUGUCUGGUGGGUAGUUUGACUGGGGCGGUCUCCUCCUAAAGAGUAACGGAGGAGCACGAAGGUUGGCUAAUCCUGGUCGGACAUCAGGAGGUUAGUGCAAUGGCAUAAGCCAGCUUGACUGCGAGCGUGACGGCGCGAGCAGGUGCGAAAGCAGGUCAUAGUGAUCCGGUGGUUCUGAAUGGAAGGGCCAUCGCUCAACGGAUAAAAGGUACUCCGGGGAUAACAGGCUGAUACCGCCCAAGAGUUCAUAUCGACGGCGGUGUUUGGCACCUCGAUGUCGGCUCAUCACAUCCUGGGGCUGAAGUAGGUCCCAAGGGUAUGGCUGUUCGCCAUUUAAAGUGGUACGCGAGCUGGGUUUAGAACGUCGUGAGACAGUUCGGUCCCUAUCUGCCGUGGGCGCUGGAGAACUGAGGGGGGCUGCUCCUAGUACGAGAGGACCGGAGUGGACGCAUCACUGGUGUUCGGGUUGUCAUGCCAAUGGCACUGCCCGGUAGCUAAAUGCGGAAGAGAUAAGUGCUGAAAGCAUCUAAGCACGAAACUUGCCCCGAGAUGAGUUCUCCCUGAGACUUUAGGUCUCCUGAAGGAACGUUGAAGACGAC
rnacentral:rRNA from 1 species